rnacentral:lncRNA from 1 species
AUGAAAAGGGCCUCGGAUGGCAGCAGCAGCCACCAGACUCUGCCUAUAGCAAAGCCCUGGGAAACUGGCUGCUCCUGCCACCAAGGGGAGGUGACUGGUUUGAAGUCCGUGGAGCACAUAUCUCCCCAAAACGGCACGACCAGAGCUGGAACUGUCUCCCCGACUCAUCAUUAUCUGCCACAUCCUCCUCCUCCUCCCCUCCUCUGCCCUGGCAUGGGCAGCCCUCCCCUCUUAUCACUGAGGUGGCAACGUUUUGUUUGUACAGCUGAGGGCUCUUGAGCUGACUGCRUGCGUCCGUCAAGGUCAUGAAGUCGUUUGGUUCCCUGACCGAGAUACCUGUAAUAGCCUCUGGCUAGAGCUACGGGGCUGUGCUGCUCUCGGUGUAGUUUGCAGCCCUGGAGGGAUCAUUUUACUGCAGUACUACAAAGCGCAGCUUUCCUGGAAAAGGGAACGGUUUGCCUGUAUUGCAGAAUGGUAAUUUUAUGCCCAUAAAGAGCUCUUAUUAUAGCCUUAAAGCAGUCCUGAAAUGCAGCCCCACCCUCUCCGUCCCCGUCUCAGGUGAAGUGCCAACACCAUCAAAUGAAGAGGUGUUCGCAGCCGUCCCGGGGUAGCGUCACCUGGCUGGCGCAGGUAGCGAUGGCCGGGAAGGCUCUCGCGUGUGGCCCCGCCGGUGUCCCCCCCUCCGGGGCCGCCAGGGGAGCGGGCUGGCUGCUAGCAGGUGUGAGAGACGGGGCCGCUGCGCCUGCCGCUCCGGCGGGCCGGGCAGGCGUUCCCGGCAACAGAUCGCUUUCUGUGCCGGGCGGGAGGCAAGGCGCCGUCGGCACGUGACCGAGCUGUACUUUCAGUCCUCUGCCGUCCCCGGUGAACAGUCGCGGCCGUUAUAGUGGGCACAAAGCUCCAAAGAGAGCCUGCCGGGCCGCGUGCGUGCGGCGCGCUGCGCGAGGGCUGAUGUCACCCGCCCCGAGCCCGGCGGGGUGACUCAUGCGGGGCGGCCGCCCGGCCCGCAGGAACAGAGGGUUCUUCAUGGGCCCGCAGGAAAACAUGCGCCGGCGU